rnacentral:miRNA from 1 species
UUAUAGGAGGUAUAGACGGUA